GACGAACGCUGGCGGCGUGCUUAACACAUGCAAGUCGAACGGAAAGGCCCCUUUGGGGGUACUCGAGUGGCGAACGGGUGAGUAACACGUGAGUAACCUGCCCUUGACUUCGGGAUAACUUCAGGAAACUGGGGCUAAUACCGGUUAGGAAUCAUUGCUGCAUGGUGGGGGUUGGAAAGCUACGGCGGUUUUGGCUGGACUCGCUGCUUAUCAGCUUGUUGGAGGGGUAGUGGCUUACCAAGGCUUCGACGGGUAGCCGGCCUGAGAGGGUGACCGGCCACAUUGGGACUGAGAUACGGCACAGACUCCGACGGGAGGCAGCAGUGGGGAAUAUUGCACAAUGGGCGGAAGGCUGAUGCAGCAACGCCGCGUGCGGGAUGACGGCCUUCGGGUUGUAAACCGCUUUCAGCAGGGGCGAAGCUUGUGGUGACGGUACCUGCAGAAGAAGCACCGGCUAACUACGUG
rnacentral:rRNA from 1 species